GUUAUUGACAACAAACACAGGUGCACUUUACGCUAAUACAGAGAAGAUUAGCAUGGCCCCUGCGAAAGGAUGACACGCAAAUCCGUGAAGCGCUCGGGAAGUCG